GAUGAACGCUGGCGGCGUGCCUAAUACAUGCAAGUCGAGCGAACGGACGAGAAGCUUGCUUCUCUGAUGUUAGCGGCGGACGGGUGAGUAAAACGUGGAGAACCUACCUAUAAGACUGGGAUAACUUCGGGAAGCCGUAACUAAUACCGGAUAAUAUUUUGAACCGCAUGGUUCAAAAGUGAAAGACGGUCUUGCUGUCACUUAUAGAUGGAUCCGCGCUGCAUUAGCUAGUUGGUAAGGUAACGGCUUACCAAGGCAACGAUGCAUAGCCGACCUGAGAGGGUGAUCGGCCACACUGGAACUGAGCCACGGUCCUGGCUCCUACGGGAGGCCGCGGUAGGGACUCUUCGGCACUGGGCGAAAGCCUGCCGGAGCAACGCCGCGUGAGUGCUGAAGGUCUUCGGAUCGUAAAACUCUGUUAUUAGGGAAGAACAUAUGUGUAAGUAACUGUGCACAUCUUGACGGUACCUAAUCAGAAAGCCCCGGCUAACUACGUG
rnacentral:rRNA from 1 species